AGGAAAAAUGUAGGAGAAAUAAACUUAAUCGAUGGAAAAAAGAUUAUGAUCAUCAUACGGGGACUACUUCAUUUGCCCAGAUUGAGGAUCAAUUUUGUAGGACAACGAACGCUCCCUUUAUCCCACUACCAGAACUGCACAGGAGAACGAUGGUUCAAUUUAAGAAGGGGUACGAUGACGAUGAGACUAAGAAACAAAAGCUAGAAUUGGCCAAGAAAAUGCAGGAAGCUCUGGAAAACACAUAUUCUGAGGUUGUUGCACAGAGCCAAGAGCCCCUGACUAGAGAGCAGAAUUAUAAUGUGAGCCAUCUAGUUUGUGGACUUCCUAAAAAAGGGAGGACCAGGUGGAUGGGAGUUGGAGCUCAGAGGGUGUCUACACAAUUCCAGCCUCCGCCGAUUUCCACACCCUCGACUAUGCCAUCGGGGCCCUCUUACAUGCCGUAGGAGGAUUGCACUCAGCAGGCGAUGCAGCUUGUUUCCUCUGUGAUGAGUAUGUUAGAUGGUCAGAUUCCCGAGGAGAUGUGGGAGGAUAUUCAAGAGGAGCUUAUGCGAGUGAUCCAGCCUACUGCUACUUUUGCGAUGGUUUCUAGGCAAAUAAUGAAAUCUUGUAGAAGGCGGGUUCCUACUCGGGUGCAAGGCCAGAUCAUGAAUUUCUUGGCCACUCAAAAGGCAUUUACUGGUAGUGGAGAGAGUAGCAGACAGGGUGGAGAUGAUGCUACUGGGAGCACGAGUCGUAGGGAUGGAUCCGCCAGUGGCAACGCAGACG